UAUUUAAGUAAAGUGAAUGGUACAGAGAGCAAAACACAAUAAGAUCUUCUUCCUCUUCUCUUCCUAUUUUCCUUACUGCAAAUAAACUUCCAUGAAACAUAGCUUAUAAAAUCUAUUCCUUUUUCAAAAUCGAUGGCAACAACAAAAAUUAUUCAACCAUAUAAGCUACAACAUCAUGAUAUUAAGUAUCAUAGAAAAAGGUUACCGAAAUGGAGCGAUGCGCAGAAGCUCGAUGCGCUCGCGACGGUGAUGGAAUCGCAUCGCGGGGUUGGCCGGUUAUGAACGGCGGGAUGGGGUGUGCGGGAUGUUUCACGGCGGUCGGUGAUGUGGUGGUUGCGUGAACUUUCCUUCUCCUUCUUUUUUCCUGCACAACGAAGACAGUAACACAAUAGCUUUUUAACAGUUUUGUAUUGAUUGUGUUGUUAGUGUCAAUGGUGAAUUACGGUGAUGGAAUGGUGUAAUAAGGCUGCCGUGACUUUGGUUUACCAUGUGGGAGAUGGAAAAGGGGUUAAUUGUUGGUGUAUGUACAGUGCCUCUUUUUGUUGUUGUUGAUUGUAACAGGUUAUGAAAUUGGUUUUGUAGAUGAAGGUUAGAGAUAUGUACGUGUGAGAGAGGUUAAUGUGAGAGUGGUAGUGCAGGUUAGGAUUGUUCGCUCCUUUUUUUGGGUUUAUUUCCUCUGUUUUUAUAGCCUCACAACAAUGUUACAAAUGGUAUUGAACAACAGAUUAAUUGAAAUUA